GAAAGGAAAAGAAAAAGAAGAAAAAAAGGGUCGUGCAUGAAACGAGCAAAGCGGCGGAAAUUUCGAGGAAGUUUCUUUGCCCGCCGAAAGGUGCAUAUCCAAGCUGCGCGUGGGAGAAGGACGCGCGGGAAGGCGCGAUUCGGCGCAAUUUCUCGAGCGAGCACGAUGAGGUCGACGACACAAGAGAGAGAAAGAAGAGUCGUUUCGACCGGGUGGUGGUGCAACUGGAAGGGAGAAACGAGAGUGAGUGAAUCAGAGAGAAAGAGAGAAAAAAGAGUUAGACGCAGAAAGGAAUAUAUAGUCAAGAUUAUGACGCAAGAUGGCGUACUUGAUGGCGUUGGUACCCUCGAAAUAAUCAUCAUUGAAAUAUAUCAAAAAAUUUCACGAGUGUUGAGAGAAAGAAGGCGCAUUUUGUUCGGGCGCCAUUAUGAAGCGGCUUGGUGCCGGGUGACAUGGCGUCGCGCAUGCUUCGAUCGCAGCGCUCUAACGGAGGAGGAUGUUGAGAAGAGUCAAAGGAGGGAAUGGGUGGUAAGGAGUAUGGGAGGAUGGAGGACGCAGAGGAAA
rnacentral:lncRNA from 1 species